rnacentral:tRNA from 1 species
CUUCUCGUGGUGUAGUGGUUACGCGCCUGUCUAGUGAGUAGGAGUCGUAAGUUCGAGUCUCAUCGAGAGGG